ACAACAUUCGGACAGUCGGUCUGCCGAGCAAUUUCACCCGGCUCGAUGGAAGAUCUUCCCUUUGACAU
rnacentral:pre_miRNA from 1 species